UGUUGGUAGGUGGUGAUGAGAGCUGUCUGUGUAGUAGUUGAAGUGGAUGAGUCGUUGGGGUUCUGAAGAUCAAAAGCAAGAAUCCGUGUGUGUAACUCGGUGAAGGAUGGCAAGGGUUUCGAGUUAAUGACGGUUGUAAGGAGCAUACAAUAGUCGGGACCUAACUCCCAAAGCACCAUGAAAACCAAGUCGUUGUUAAAGACAGGUUAUCCAACAUGAACGAGUUCAUCAACGAGAUUCUUGAAGUGUUGCAGGAACUCAGAGACGGAACGAGUGCCUUUAUGAAGA
rnacentral:lncRNA from 1 species